rnacentral:sRNA from 1 species
UUCGGGUAUAUAUCCUUCCUUAACUAAUUAUUCAUCCGAGCGAGGCUCGGUCAUAUGGUACUAAACCCUAACACCGUCACUUGCUAGAACUUACGUAUUUCUUUUAUUCGGCCAGCAAGUAAGGGCUACAUGUUUGGACGUUCAGGUGAAGCUUUAACUAGAAGGCUCAGAGAAAUGACUUUUAGAUCUAUGCUAAAACAAGACAUUGGCUGGUUUGAUGAUCACAAAAACAGUGUUGGUGCUUUGACUACAAGGCUUGCUACAGAUGCAUCUUUAGUUCAGGGCGGUCCCUGCUGGCCUUCUCGAACCGGAC